rnacentral:rRNA from 1 species
AGAGUUUGAUCCUGGCUCAGGACGAACGCUGGCGGCGCGCCUAACACAUGCAAGUCGAACGAGCGAGAGAGAGCUUGCUUUCUCGAGCGAGUGGCGAACGGGUGAGUAACGCGUGAGGAACCUGCCUCAAAGAGGGGGACAACAGUUGGAAACGACUGCUAAUACCGCAUAAGCCCACGGGUCGGCAUCGACCAGAGGGAAAAGGAGCAAUCCGCUUUGAGAUGGCCUCGCGUCCGAUUAGCUAGUUGGUGAGGUAACGGCCCACCAAGGCGACGAUCGGUAGCCGGACUGAGAGGUUGAACGGCCACAUUGGGACUGAGACACGGCCCAGACUCCUACGGGAGGCAGCAGUGGGGAAUAUUGCACAAUGGGGGAAACCCUGAUGCAGCGACGCCGCGUGGAGGAAGAAGGUCUUCGGAUUGUAAACUCCUGUUGUUGGGGAAGAUAAUGACGGUACCCAACAAGGAAGUGACGGCUAACUACGUGCCAGCAGCCGCGGUAAAACGUAGGUCACAAGCGUUGUCCGGAAUUACUGGGUGUAAAGGGAGCGCAGGCGGGAAGACAAGUUGGAAGUGAAAUCUAUGGGCUCAACCCAUAAACUGCUUUCAAAACUGUUUUUCUUGAGUAGUGCAGAGGUAGGCGGAAUUCCCGGUGUAGCGGUGGAAUGCGUAGAUAUCGGGAGGAACACCAGUGGCGAAGGCGGCCUACUGGGCACCAACUGACGCUGAGGCUCGAAAGUGUGGGUAGCAAACAGGAUUAGAUACCCUGGUAGUCCACACCGUAAACGAUGAUUACUAGGUGUUGGAAGAUUGACCCCCUCAGUGC